UGGGACAUAUAUAAAAGGUAGCAAAGGUAGCAAAACGUAUGACAAAAGAUAUCGACCCAUAUUUCAAGAAAAACGGUUUUUACCUUACCCUGUAGUAGUACAACUAUUGUACACACAUUCUAUAUAAUAUGUUUUUAUGUGUACAUAUAUUUUAUACGUUAUAAGUGACCGAAAAAGAGCGAACACAAUGCACAAUACAUUUAAUAUAACUCGUGUGAUGCGUGAGACUUGGAAAUUA